rnacentral:lncRNA from 1 species
CUAUUUUCUCCAUUUCUCCAGAAACCUCCGUGGAAAGCUUUUAUCUAGGCAUUGGCUUCCAUGUUGAUAAAUCUACAGUCCUGAGAAGCUAAAACUUCAGACACAGGCCUAGUUGGAACUGCUUCUGUUGGAAAUGUAUCUAUGAGUCAGAGAAAAAGCCUUAUUAAUUUGACUUUAAUAGGCCAAGAAAUUGAUCCACUGAAACUCCUAGAAGGAGACAGUUACAUCAAAUGAGCAGUAGCCAUGGGAGCAAUUGUUUCUCCUAAAUUAUUUUCAGAUUAGCUUGCUUUGUACACCUGAUAAGGGUGUUUAGAACUCCAUGUUUUCUUUGAAGACAUCCCCGGGAGAAAUGUGGAGGAGCACUUAAUUGGAGGUGACCUGCUAUUUUUUGUACCUCUCUUCCAAGCCCUUCCUCUCUGGACUAAACAUUUUUAUACUACCUUCUUUAAGCACCCUCAGGGUUAGUAACCAUGCUGUUGAAUGGUCCUAUAUCAGUUAGAUUACUUCAUGCUGCAGGCAAGAAAAAAUCCACCAAAAAUGUAAAAUGUGUAUGUAAAUGGUACCAACAGGAGUUGUGCAUUGUGCUUGCCCUGCCAAUCACCUAAAGGUCUGGGGACCUGAUUCUUAUUCCUAACUACUAGCUUUAACUGAUUCUACUACUAUUGUUUUCUGCUUUCUCUCUUUACCCCAUCCAUUUCAAUUCCGUCCAUCAAAUGCUAUUUUUCAC